rnacentral:rRNA from 1 species
GCCAGCAGCCAUAUCACCCUGCAACUCACAGCUGGCAACCCAGUGAAGCUAAGCAGGUGUGAGCCUGGUGAGUACCUGGAUGAGAGACCUCCUGGGAAAAACUAAGGUUAACAGGCG